UUGGCAGGUAAGAGUUGGUUGCAGCAGUAACUCCUGAAACCUGCCUCUCAUUAUGCCAAGAACUGCAAUGUGUUUGCCACAUAAAAGCAUGAGUGAUAACAAAUGCUUUCCGAUGGUGAGAACUGCUCUUUAUGGCCUGCUUUCCAAGUGCCCUCUUGACAUAGAAGAACUUUUUUUUUUUACAACAUCAAUCAUCAUUAGUAGCAAAUGGUGAUAUCUGUA
rnacentral:lncRNA from 1 species